rnacentral:rRNA from 1 species
UACGAAGGGGGCGAGCGUUGUUCGGAUUUACUGGGCGUAAAGGGCGCGUAGGCGGCCUUGUCAGUCAGGCGUGAAAGCCCCGGGCUCAACCUGGGAACGGCGCUUGGGACGGCGAGGCUGGAGUUCGGGAGAGGAGAGUGGAACUCCUGGUGCAGCGGUGGAAUGCGCAGAUAUCAGGAGGAACACCAAUGGCGAAGGCAGCUCGCUGGGACGGUACUGACGCUGAGGCGCGAAAGCGUGGGGAGCAAACAGG